rnacentral:rRNA from 1 species
CAGUAGCCGCGGGAAUACGAAGGGGGCUAGCGUUGUUCGGAAUUACUGGGCGUAAAGCGCACGUAGGCGGAUAUUUAAGUCAGGGGUGAAAGCCCGCAGCUCAACUGCGGAACUGCCUUUGAUACUGGGUAUCUUGAGUAUGGAAGAGGUUAGUGGAAUUGCGGGUGUAGAGGUGAAAUUCGUAGAUAUUCGCAGGAACACCAGUGGCGAAGGCGGCUAACUGGUCCAUAACUGACGCUGAGGUGCGAAAGCGUGGGGAGCAAACAGGAUUAGAUACCCCGGUAGUCCCUGUCUCUUAUAC